GGGCCCAUAGCUCAGCGGCAGAGCGGCCGGCUCAUAACCGGUUGGUCCUUGGUUCGAAUCCGAGUGGGCCCA
rnacentral:tRNA from 1 species